UUCUUCGGGGCGGGGCGUAAUUCCCCACCGGCGGUAAAGUCCGCGACCCACAUAAGUGGUUGAAUCGGUGCGAUUCCGAUACCGACAGUUAUAGUCUGGAUGAGAGAAGAA
rnacentral:ncRNA from 1 species